GCUUCUGCGGUGAACCCCGCGCCACCCGGCGAGCGGGGUCGAGCCCGGCCGGCCUCAGCCGUCGCGGUCGGUCAGCGGCAGUCACAGCCCGGGAAUGAGCGCGGUGUUUGCAUUGACCCCCGCGCGCCCGCGCCCGGAGCCAGCAGCCGGAAGUGCUGGGUGUGAGGGCAGUUGCAUCUGUUCACCGUGUUCGAGUUAGGAACUGCUGGAGGGUUGUCUUUGAAUUGAUACAGGCUACUGCCUCACAGUCUCUGCUUUUUCUUACCAAGAUGCUGUGCUAGGACAUGGAUCGCCAACACUGGAUUAACUUUGCCUAUAAGCUAUGUUUCUGGGAGGAAGAGCAAGUACACGGUUCACAAAAAUACCAAACAACAAAGACAGACCAAGUUUGUCAGCCUGACAGAUGCCAGAACCCCACAUGGUUUUUACACAUACUGAGCAGAAAAAACAGGUUUUAUCCCCUUUGGCUCCACGUUUACCACCACUGUAAAGAAAUUAAAAACUGAAACAAUAAAAUGUGCAUUUUC